UAGCAUGCAUGCAGUGGACUUGUGCACAGGUCCAUUUGCCUGGUGUGGUGCCAUCUUGUAUUCAUCGGCCAAAGAUGGGCAUCAUCAUAUCUUAUGGUUGGAGGAAAGCCAAUUUUCUUGAUUUUGCUAUAAAUGGUCUUUUGUCCCUUAACAUGGUGGUGGCAUUCUUGGUGGCGUUUAUACUGGACAACACUGUUCCUGGCAAUCAGAAAGAACGGGGAGUGUAUAUGUGGUCAAGUGCGGAGGACCUGGCAAAUGAUUCAUCGCUCCUUGCAGAUUAUUCCCUUCCAAGAAGAGUUGGUCGGUUUUUUCGGUGGGCGAAAUGUGUCCGUGCAUGACAUGUCUUGACAUUUUGCAGCAGCCUCUGUAUAUAUGUUUUUGGUAAAAUUGCCACUGUUUAGAUCGAGUUAUCUCAAUUUGUGACACUGUACGGAAUAAAGGAACAAUUUUGUAUUCCUUUCCUAAAUGUAAGAACAAAAUAGGGUGUUGACAUUAAAUGGUUGACACAAAUUCUUUCAGAGAAA